GUCUUUACGGUUUUAGAAAACAUUUCACUUUCACUGAAAAGGAGGGACGUUUUGUUCCCUUAAGAUA
rnacentral:tRNA from 2 species